GGAUAACAUACCGAAAGGUAUGCUAAUACGGGAUAAUAUAUUUGAGAGGCAUCUCUUAAAUAUCAAAGGUGAGCCAGUACAGGAUGGACCCGCGUCUGAUUAGCUAGUUGGUAAGGUAACGGCUUACCAAGGCGACGAUCAGUAGCCGACCUGAGAGGGUGAUCGGCCACAUCGGAACUGAGACACGGUCCAAACUCCUACGGGAGGCAGCAGUGGGGAAUAUUGCACAAUGGGCGAAAGCCUGAUGCAGCAACGCCGCGUGAGUGAUGAAGGCCUUCGGGUCGUAAAACUCUGUCCUCAAGGAAGAUAAUGACGGUACUUGAGGAGGAAGCCCCGGCUAACUACGUGCCAGCAGCCGCGGUAAUACGUAGGGGGCUAGCGUUAUCCGGAUUUACUGGGCGUAAAGGGUGCGUAGGCGGUCUUUCAAGUCAGGAGUGAAAGGCUACGGCUCAACCGUAGUAAGCUCUUGAAACUGGGAGACUUGAGUGCAGGAGAGGAGAGUGGAAUUCCUAGUGUAGCGGUGAAAUGCGUAGAUAUUAGGAGGAACACCAGUUGCGAAGGCGGCUCUCUGGACUGUAACUGACGCUGAGGCACGAAAGCGUGGGGAGCAAACAGGAUUAGAUACCCUGGUAGUCCACGCUGUAAACGAUGAGUACUAGGUGUCGGGGGUUACCCCCUUCGGUGCCGCA
rnacentral:rRNA from 1 species